rnacentral:RNase_P_RNA from 1 species
CUGGUAAUUCGGGCAAUCGCCCAGACCCAUGACGAAUGUCAAAAGAACUGGGAGGAAAGUCCGGACGCUCUCCCGAUGUUUAUCGGGAUAAAAUAGUAAUGGAUAACAUCCAUCAGUAGUGAUACAGAGGUGCGAGCAGAAACGUCCGGUUUCGAAAGGAAUCGGAAGACCCAAUCUCAAGCUAGUUGGUCUAGUCCAGUUAUAGAGAUUAAAAGACUGGAAUGAAACGGCUAAAUCCUUACUGGGCGCAAGGCCGCGCCCGCCAUUGAGGCGGGAGUGCCGCUAGAGGUCAAUAGUAAUAUUGAUCCCAGAUAAAUGAUUGCUUGAUACAGAAUCCGGCUUAUGAAUUACCAGCUUG